ACAGAGUGCGAAGGUAACGAAACGCGGCGGUGCAUAGUUUUGUUUUGAAUCGCGAUGCGCCGCGGUGCAUCGUAAAAUGCAUCGUUCCACGUUUCGACUUAUUGCAUAACGGGCUGCAGGCGUCGCGGUAAACGAUGACGUACUUGUUUUGAUCCCGCAGAGUUAGUCUUGCAUGCUAUUUUCGUUCGAGCCGCGCAUUUUUAUUCCAUCUGCAGCGUUUCUUGCAUUGCCGCGCCGCAUGAUAAAGCGCCGCCGGUGCCUUGUUCAUUGCAUAAUAUAGAGCGGGACGAUCGGGAAACGCGAUAACAUUCGUGCAUCGAUGCGACGAACGAAGGGCUUUUAACGUUGAACCUAUCGCGGUCGAAUGACCGGUUACACGUUUCGCGAUUAGAAAAAUUAUGAUGACAAUUUCGCGAGAAAUAAUCGUGCGAAGCCCUUUGAUGCGGCAACUGCGGUAACAAAAACUGAAUCGAAAUAAAUUGGAUCGUCUUGCUUUCAUGGGGUAACGUGUAUCAUGGAAUUUUACUGUUUUUUAGGUUCAGCGUUAACACGCGGAACUACCAAACCAAUCAAACUAACUGGUUUCCGAGUUUUGCUUUUACAAUUCCUCUGAUGCUAUGAAAAUGUUUUCGUUAGAAACGUUUACAGGAACUUCCUCAUUGAAGCGCUUGUUGCAAAAAACAAAUUGUAGGAAUGAAUCCAAUCAUGUUAUUGCUACAAAAAAAAUGCAUUAUUCACGUUUAAGACUCGGUAGUUGCAGACGACUGUCGAAGUCUCCGAUUUCCAGGCAAGACGUUUGCGCUGAUUCGGCGACGAUGUCGACGAGAAGCGGCUAAUUAAAAAGGGAUAAUUGUGAACGGCCUCCGAGGCCGGUGCAUUUAUAAAUUGUUUCUAGCCUUCCACGGCUGGAUGGCCGGGUGAUUUAUGAGUUUUGGCGAUCGGACGGCCAGUCCGCGGGGUAGGAAACGCGAAAUACAAUGGCGGGCUCGCGGAACGAGCCCUGCAACGAUAUAAUGCCUUGGGCAAUAACCGGAAUAGGAUUGCCCUAACGCAUAUUAACGCUUCUAAUUUAUGCGAGUCCAUCGGCCGUGCGAGAUCGCUCAAACCCGGCUCACCAUUCAACCGUGGCAUCGCGGUUGGUCACUUUGCCCGCGUGCCGGCUGCGCUGCCGCGCCGUGUCGCUCUGAUACCGCGUUGAUCAACAGCUACAAAGGGACAGGGGAACACUUAGGAGCCCGGGGAACCGUAAUCCAGGAUCGCUGGAAUUCGAAUAUUUCCCAUUAAUAACGUCGAUUAUCUCAAUUAGAAAGUUUCCGGCCGCCAUCGAUCCGACGCGGCGCGUCACGCGCGACCUAUUCGCGAACAGCUGAUUUUUCAGGGAGGAAAAAGCAACAAAGCGUACAAAGCAACGCUUGGAUGUUGAAUUAGGAGCUGUGACAAGUGUCGCAGAAUUUUUUCAGAGUUUUCUAAAAGCCUGGACGAUGAGGAAUCGGGCUGAGAAACGAGACUGCGGAUUUGCAGAUUAUGGUCGCGAAAAAAGGCAAGGUAAAGGCCUUUUUAAAAGCCUGGAUGGUGAGGGAUCAGGCUGAGAAACGAGGCUGCGGGUUUGCAGAUUAUGUUCGCGAAAAGAGGCAAGGUAAAGACGCAUCGCCGCAGGACGCGAGGGAACGAAUGUGCAGCGCUAUCGCAACGCUGCAAUGACCGCGGAUAUUGCUGGAGAAAAAUCUGUGCUCGCUAAUACGAGAAUUUCGCGCGGCGACGAAGACUCGCCCGCUAAUUUCUUUCCGUUUUCCGACUGGACGCAUUCGCGUUCCGAUUUCCACGGACACCUGGCCAGCACGGCAAAUUGCAAGUCGCGUUCGGAGUCCUGCACGGUUCACAGGAGGGAACGGAAAAAUUUCGAGCGAUAAUUCGAGCGUUGUUUUUGGGCAAGCCGUCCCGACGAGACGCGACGCGACGGUUUAAUGUUACGUACAGGGUGUAACAAAAAUAAAUGUCGCGAUCACGCCGGGUCGAUUCUACACGCUCGAUUUAGCCGGAAACAAUGUAAGCAAGGCGCCGCGAGAUUGACCUCGACCUCGAUAAAAAGUCAAGCGGGUCGAAAGGUUGCAAAUUUUGCGAAUUAAAUUAAAAAUCAAAUCUCUUACCAACAAUCUGUUAACUGGUCCUUGACAAAUUCGGUCUUCGAGACGACCGGGCAAAGCGAUAAAAUGAAAUUUGCAACGAUUUGACCUUUCGACUUUUUUCGCAGUCCAGGUCAAUUUAGCGUCGCCUUGCUUACGUCGUUUUCCGGUAGAUCGAAGGUGCGGUAUUUUUGGGUGUAUUUUUGUUACACCCUGUACAAUGCUAUUGGUCCCUAGACAGAUAUCGUCCGUUCUCGUUAUUCCGUUGAUGAAAAUAUUCCACUCUGAAUAACGAUGGGACAAAAAUGAUCCGGGCUCCUCGGUCCGGUUCGCUAACCGCGCUGAUUUCGAAUGCCGAACCGAAAAUUAAUGAAAACCAUUCGCUGUGACUGCGUUUUUCCCGGCAACGGGACACGGACGUUCGCAUGCAUUACCGACCGGCGUUCAUUGUUUGUCUUAUCGUUCGCAUUCGACGCCAUCGAGUCGACGAUACGCCGUAUUCGGCUUCGAUACCUGAACCAGCGCGGCUGAUUAAUAAGGCACCGCAUCAAAGGAAUAUUCAUUCGGCGACGAGACUCACCGAUUAGCGUGUUCGGGUCUCGAGAGAUUCGAUCACCGGACUAACAUUACUGCAACGUAUCGCCGUAAUCUUCGCUCGAUCCAAAUUGCAUCGCCGCGAUCACUAAUCAGCACCUUCAUUAACACAGGAAUUAUUUUAUUUUUUCAUUCGUACAGAUAGAACUGAUUAGAUAAUGCUAUUAUGUAUUAUUAUAUAAUACU